AGUGAACGCUGGCGGCAGGCCUAACACAUGCAAGUCGAACGGCAGCACAGUAAGAGCUUGCUCUUUCGGGUGGCGAGUGGCGGAUGGGUCAGGCAUACAUCGCAAUCUACUUUUUCUUGGGUGAUAACGUAGGGACUCUUACGCUAAUACCGCAUACGUCCUACGGGUGAAAGCAUGGGAUCUUCGGAUCUUGCGUGAUUCUAUGAGCCGAUGUCGGAUUAGCUAGUUGGCGGGGUAAAGGCCCACCAAGGCGACGAUCCGUAGCUGGUCUGAGAGGAUGAUCAGCCACACUGGAACUGAGACACGGUCCAGACUCCUACGGGAGGCAGCAGUGGGGAAUAUUGGACAAUGGGCGAAAGCCUGAUCCAGCCAUGCCGCGUGGGUGAAGAAGGCCUUCGGAUUGUAAAGCCCUUUUAUUGGGGAAGAAAAGCAGCAGGUUAAUACCCCGCUGUUCUGACGGUACCAAAAGAAUAAGCACCGGCUAACUUCGUG
rnacentral:rRNA from 1 species